rfam:Bradyrhizobium sp. Leaf396 contig_21, whole genome shotgun sequence.
GAAGACCGGUGCGGGUAAGCCGUAGCGGGCGCCCGGUAGCGAGUGUUGCGUGGUCGCCGGUGACGGCGGCUGCGAAGCGUACACAGCGAUCGUGUGGGGUGAGCGAUUGAGCCGCGAAAGCCAUAAAAUCGCAGAGGCCGAGACGGUAAGCAACGUCGAAGGCAACAUGUGCGGUCCCGCUAUGCGAGGGGCUGACGCUCUGCCGUGGUCGAAGGCGU